AGACCCGAAACCCGGUGAUCUAGCCAUGGGCAGGUUGAAGGUUGGGUAACACUAACUGGAGGACCGAACCGACUAAUGUUGAAAAAUUAGCGGAUGACCUGUGGCUGGGGGUGAAAGGCCAAUCAAACCGGGAGAUAGCUGGUUCUCCCCGAAAGCUAUUUAGGUAGCGCCUCGUGAAUUCAUCUCCGGGGGUAGAGCACUGUUUCGGCUAGGGGGUCAUCCCGACUUACCAACCCGAUGCAAACUGCGAAUACCGGAGAAUGUUAUCACGGGAGACACACGGCGGGUGCUAACGUCCGUCGUGAAGAGGGAAACAACCCAGACCGCCAGCUAAGGUCCCAAAGUCAUGGUUAAGUGGGAAACGAUGUGGGAAGGCCCAGACAGCCAGGAUGUUGGCUUAGAAGCAGCCAUCAUUUAAAGAAAGCGUAAUAGCUCACUGGUCGAGUCGGCCUGCGCGGAAGAUGUAACGGGGCUAAACCAUGCACCGAAGCUGCGGCAGCGACGCUUAUGCGUUGUUGGGUAGGGGAGCGUUCUGUAAGCCUGUGAAGGUGGCCUGUGAGGGUUGCUGGAGGUAUCAGAAGUGCGAAUGCUGACAUAAGUAACGAUAAAGCGGGUGAAAAGCCCGCUCGCCGGAAGACCAAGGGUUCCUGUCCAACGUUAAUCGGGGCAGGGUGAGUCGACCCCUAAGGCGAGGCCGAAAGGCGUAGUCGAUGGGAAACGGGUUAAUAUUCCCGUACUUGGUGUUACUGCGAAGGGGGGACGGAGAAGGCUAUGUUGGCCGGGCGACGGUUGUCCCGGUUUAAGCGUGUAGGUGUGUGUUCCAGGUAAAUCCGGUUCACUUUAACACUGAGGCGUGACGACGAGGCACUACGGUGCUGAAGCAACAAAUGCCCUGCUUCCAGGAAAAGCCUCUAAGCAUCAGGUAACAUCAAAUCGUACCCCAAACCGACACAGGUGGUCAGGUAGAGAAUACCAAGGCGCUUGAGAGAACUCGGGUGAAGGAACUAGGCAAAAUGGUGCCGUAACUUCGGGAGAAGGCACGCUGACACGUAGGUGAAGUGAUUUACUCAUGGAGCUGAAGUCAGUCGAAGAUACCAGCUGGCUGCAACUGUUUAUUAAAAACACAGCACUGUGCAAACACGAAAGUGGACGUAUACGGUGUGACGCCUGCCCGGUGCCGGAAGGUUAAUUGAUGGGGUCAGCGCAAGCGAAGCUCCUGAUCGAAGCCCCGGUAAACGGCGGCCGUAACUAUAACGGUCCUAAGGUAGCGAAAUUCCUUGUCGGGUAAGUUCCGACCUGCACGAAUGGCGUAAUGAUGGCCAGGCUGUCUCCACCCGAGACUCAGUGAAAUUGAACUCGCUGUGAAGAUGCAGUGUACCCGCGGCAAGACGGAAAGACCCCGUGAACCUUUACUAUAGCUUGACACUGAACAUUGAGCCUUGAUGUGUAGGAUAGGUGGGAGGCUUUGAAGCGUGGACGCCAGUCUGCGUGGAGCCGACCUUGAAAUACCACCCUUUAAUGUUU
rnacentral:rRNA from 1 species